rnacentral:rRNA from 1 species
AAGUCGUAACAAGGUUUCCGUAGGUGAACCUGCGGAAGGAUCAUUACCGAAUUGUCAACAAGAGCUGUUGCUGGUCUCUGUAUGGGGGCAUGUGCACGCUCUGUUUACACAUCCACUCACACCUGUGCACCCUCUGUAGUUCUGUGGCCUGGGUGGGCUCUGUCCCCCUGCUGUGGUUCUGCGUCUUUACACACACACUACAACAAAGUCUCAUGGAAUGUAUGUCGCGUUUAACGCAAUGAAAUACAACUUUCAGCAACGGAUCUCUUGGCUCUCGCAUCGAUGAAGAACGCAGCGAAAUGCGAUAAGUAAUGUGAAUUGCAGAAUUCAGUGAAUCAUCGAAUCUUUGAACGCACCUUGCGCCCUUUGGCUAUUCCGAAGGGCAUGCCUGUUUGAGUAUCAUGAACACCUCAACUCUCAUGGCUUGCCGUGAUGAGCUUGGACUUUGGGGGUCUUGUUGGCCUGUGAGCCAGCUCCUCUUAAAUGAAUUAGCUUGCCGGUGUUUGGUGGCAUCGCAGGUGUGAUAACUAUCUACGCUUGUGGUUUCCCAUCAGAUAACCUUCAGCAAUGGAGGUUCACUGGGGCUUAUAAACAUCUCUCCUCGGUGAGGACAGAUUUUGACCGUUUGAUCUCAAAUCAGGUAGGACUACCCGCUGAACUUAAGCAUAUCAAUAAGCGGAGG